AGUGGGAGCACCCUUUGGGUGUGACUGCGUACCUUUUGUAUAAUGGGUCAGCGACUUAUAUUCUGUAGCAAGGUUAACCGAAUAGGGGAGCCGGAGGGAAACCGAGUCUUAACCGGGCGUUAAGUUGCAGGGUAUAGACCCGAAACCCGGUGAUCUAGCCAUGGGCAGGUUGAAGGUUGGGUAACACUAACUGGAGGACCGAACCGACUAAUGUUGAAAAAUUAGCGGAUGACCUGUGGCUGGGGGUGAAAGGCCAAUCAAACCGGGAGAUAGCUGGUUCUCCCCGAAAGCUAUUUAGGUAGCGCCUCGUGAAUUCAUCUCCGGGGGUAGAGCACUGUUUCGGCUAGGGGGCCAUCCCGGCUUACCAACCCGAUGCAAACUGCGAAUACCGGAGAAUGUUAUCACGGGAGACACACGGCGGGUGCUAACGUCCGUCGUGAAGAGGGAAACAACCCAGACCGCCAGCUAAGGUCCCAAAGUCAUGGUUAAGUGGGAAACGAUGUGGGAAGGCCCAGACAGCCAGGAUGUUGGCUUAGAAGCAGCCAUCAUUUAAAGAAAGCGUAAUAGCUCACUGGUCGAGUCGGCCUGCGCGGAAGAUGUAACGGGGCUAAACCAUGCACCGAAGCUGCGGCAGCGACACUGUGUGUUGUUGGGUA
rnacentral:rRNA from 1 species